AGAACGAACGCUGGCGGCAUGCCUAAUACAUGCAAGUCGAACGAACACUUCGGUGUUAGUGGCGCACGGGUGCGUAACGCGUGGGAAUCUGCCCUUGGGUUCGGAAUAACAGUUGGAAACGACUGCUAAUACCGGAUGAUGACGAAAGUCCAAAGAUUUAUCGCCCAGGGAUGAGCCCGCGUAGGAUUAGCUAGUUGGUGAGGUAAAGGCUCACCAAGGCGACGAUCCUUAGCUGGUCUGAGAGGAUGAUCAGCCACACUGGGACUGAGACACGGCCCAGACUCCUACGGGAGGCAGCAGUAGGGAAUAUUGGACAAUGGGGCGCAAGCCUGAUCCAGCAAUGCCGCGUGAGUGAUGAAGGCCUUAGGGUUGUAAAGCUCUUUUACCCGAGAUGAUAAUGACAGUAUCGGAGAAUAAGCCCCGGCUAACUCCGUGCCAGCACGCCGAC
rnacentral:rRNA from 1 species